UUUCUUGUCAACAGAUUGCAGAGACUAGAGAGCGUUCCACCACCAAAGAACGCUCCAUGCAGAACAAGAUCCUGGAGCUGGAGACCCAGCUCAGCAGGAUAACCUCUGAAAUCACUCAGCUCAGACGCAGCAAAGAGGAGGCAGAGAGGCGGUACCAGAGCCGACUGCAGGACAUGAAGGAUCGCCUGGAGCAGUCCGAUGGAACCAACAGAAGCCUUCAGAACUAUGUGCAGUUUCUCAAGGCGUCAUAUACUAAUGUAUUUGGGGAUCCACUUCUCUCUAGCACUCUGCGAGCUCCAUCACCUUUAUGAUUCCCCUCCUGUGAAUAAAGCACUCUUUGAAACGUGA